GAAUUUGUUGCUUUUCAGAGAGGGGCAGUCGGUCUCUACAUGCGUGAGGUGGCGAGGGGCGUGUCCAGGGGGCGGCUAGUAGCGUGUGCCACCAUGGAAAUAUGUACAGACAUAAAGAAGACGCCCUCAAGAAAGGCCUGAGUCCAGACCGAGACCCAGAGAAAUGUAAACAAACGCACCAGUCAGACUUGAUAUAGGAGUGAAUUUGUUGCUUUUUAAAGCGGCAGUCGGUCUGUACAUGUGUGAGGUGGCGAGGGGUGUCGCCAGGGGGCGGCUAGUAGCGUCUGCCACCAGGGAAAUAUGUAAAAACAUAAAAAAGACGCUUCUCAAGAAAGAGAGGGGCAGUCGGUCUGUACAUGCGUGAGGUGGCGAGGGGCGUGUCCAGGGGGCGGCUAGUAGCGUGUGCCACCAUGGAAAUAUGUACAGACAUAAAGAAGACGCCCUCAAGAAAGGCCUGAGUCCAGACCGAGACCCAGAGAAAUGUAAACAAACGCACCAGUCAGACUUGAUAUAGGAGUGAAUUUGUUGCUUUUUAAAGCAGCAGUCGGUCUGUACAUGUGUGAGGUGGCGAGGGGUGUCGCCAGGGG